UCCUCCCCACCACCAGAGCUAGGUCCGUUGUUGCCCACCGCCCGAGAUCUGCCAGCUGCGUGCCCACGAGGUGACUUCGGGGGCUGAUGGGUUGCUUUUGGGGAGUAAGGGAAUAGCGUGGCGGACUCCUGAAGCUUGGAGUACUGGCUUGGCGCUCAUGCUGUGGCUUUAAUUACCAUCACCCGGCAGCACGAGGAGGUUGCCUAGACCCGUGAGAGUCCCAACCCCUGACAGACUGUUAAAACUAGUUCUAAUUUAUGCUCUCAAGCCCUAUGUGCUUCCUAAUCCUUGGGUGCCUGCUGAGAAUUCUGUUCCCAGGCCCCCACCUCAGACUAUUCCAGUUCAGAUCUUGAGAAGUGAGGCUCAAGCAUGGGAAGGUUUGGGGUUUUUGUUUGUUUUGUUUUGUUUUAACUCACAGUGUAAUUCAAACGUGCUGUGGAUCACAAUGUUGCAGGAAGUCUGUCAGGACACGUUUCUGCAGAGAUGUCUAAGCUACUGGCUCAUUUACAAAAACAAAACAACAAAAACCUGAGUUUCUCCCCCGCCCCCCUUGCAACUUUUGAGUUCUGUAGGUCAGAAUUCUUAGUUGAUGUUAUCUUAAGAACAUUUGACAGUUGCUGUGGGUAGCCAGAGUUCUGAACCAUUUUCCCUUUUUUUUUCUGAAAUGAUUGUUACAAACUCGUUGCACAAAUUAGGCUCUGGACUCCACUGUUGUUGGGGUUUUUAUUUGCUUGGGGGGGGUUGUUUGUUGGUUUUUGUUUUGUUGUUGUUUUUUAACUAAAAGCCAGAACAUUACUCAAAAUCUUAAGACUAAAAGUUACAGACACAAAGCCUCUAUGAAUUGUGAGAUUGUGAUACUGUUUGAAAGUACAAUUUAUGCUAGCAUGAUUCGUCAAGAUAACAGUGUCUUUGGGAUGGCAGUGGAAAGAGAAACCAUGUGUAUAUGCUUUGGGUAAAUCUAACACGUGCAAGUUCACAGUAAAGUGUAUGAUCCCUUCUGUUGACUGCUGGGCUGGGGGGAAAAAUCAACCCAAGUUGCAGAGAGGCAGGCGUUUCCAUCGUGAAACUGUUUUACAGAUGGCAGAGGCUUAUUGGUGUUUCUUCAAGUCCAGCGUUUAAGGAGAAGUUAAGAUAAGAAGGAUGGCAGGAAAUUAAACAUAGCUAGAGGUUAGAUAAGAGUUCUCAAGCACACUAUAGAACUCUCAGAAUUACUUCUUUAUGUUGGGAAAUCCACUCAUAAAGCACUUGGACAAUCAGAUGCAGACUGUAACAUUUAAGGCCAGAUGAACUGGAAAUAUAUUAAUAUAUUUAGACAUUUGGAACUUCUUACUGAUUGUUGUUUUUAGUUACUGCCCCUUAAUAAUUUGGGGGAGCACGGGUAGGAGAGAAUAUUAUCAGGAUAUAACAGACAAUCUCAACAAUUCCAGUAGCCCCCAAAGGCAGGAGAUUAUACCUGUUAUUUUCUCUGGUGGAAGAAAAAUGGGACCUCUAAAAGGAAUAAAGUAUAGCAUCUAUCCCUCCAAAUAAGUGCCCGGAGCAAGUACAGUAUGCAGAAAAGAAUUUAGCAUAGAAUUAUCAGAAAUAUGUUUAUAGAAAGUAAUUUAAAAUAAUUCACUGGAAAGAUAAAAGUGGUCUUAACUACCCAAAUUACUCAAGAUUUUUGCUGCUGUGCCAGCAAUUGAGUGUGUGCUGUGUUUGGCCCUGACUUUUUUAUGGUCACACUCAGAUAUGCUGUAUGAAACACAUGCCUGAAAUGAGACGAACACCAUCUGUUUCUUCUUUUGAACCAGAUUAUCACUGUCGUCAUCCUCUGUUGUCCUGGUUUUUUUCAGUUCUCCCCGUUACCUGUGGUGUUUCUGAGUCAGAGUAUCUUGCUCUUUCUUGGGCUUCUAGUUGAUUUCUGAUCGACACUAGCCACAUAAAGGAUUCUGCAGGAUUGCAAAGUAAACCAUUCACAAAUCUUUAUCACCCUUGCUGAUAAAUUAAACAGUGCCUUUCCAUGAGUGGUAUGUGAUUUGGGCAGGGGAGGUGGCAAGAAUUGUUAACUAUACCCUUUCAGUCUCCUCCCACCCCGCCCCAUGCCUGCCUUGGAACAGCACUUAAUGCAACACCCAGGCAAGCAUAAACUGGAGCCUCGGCUUGAGAAAGUGAACGGGGUUAAAUAAUACUUACUUGUCUCCCUCCAUCUUCAGCUCUGAAGGUGGCUGUUAGAGAUGGAAACACAGUCGGCUGCUAUAUGCUUGUAAGCAGGCCCUGUGUCCAGCUGAAGAUGGAGUUUGGGGAGCUGGCAAGGUAGCCCAGUGGGUAAAGGCACUUGUCACCAAACCUGACACAUGCACACAAUAAACCAAUGUUCUUGUUUUAAAAGUGGAGCUUGGACUCGUUCUCUGGUGGAAGUAGGCCAUUUGGACUCAUGCCAUCUUUGAUGUCUACAUGACUAAGUAGGGACCAUACAAAGCCAUAGGAAAAAAAAAUCCAUGAGAGUGUCAAGCCUGAUACGUUCAACCAAGUACAACAGCCAGCUAGGGGUGGUGGCAUGGGGACAGCAAGAGUAGGAGGGUAGGAAACAAGAGUGUCAGAAGUCCCUGUUUUUAUCAUUUUUCUCAUUGAGUGAACUACUGGUAUUUAUACAAUUGACAGGCAUCUCUAAUGGGCUGGCAUUGCAUGUUCAGGAAGAUUUCUUACUAUCACACGUGAACUUGUGUUACUCAAGGCACCUUCAUUUACUUCGUUUUAGUCCUCAGCAUACUGCUUUGUAGCAGGCAGUGUGUUCUCAUGGUCUUCAUUGCACCCCCAGACUGUCAGUCUGGCUCAAAGCCAAAUCAAUGGGGCCCUCAAC
rnacentral:lncRNA from 1 species